rnacentral:misc_RNA from 1 species
CGGCGAUCUCUUUCUCCGGAGGAUUUAAAGUCCUAAGUCUCUUCAUUUAUAUCUUCAAUUCACGAAUUCCCUUUGGAGUGAGUGUAAAGCACAAGUUUUACCAAGUGGUUGAAGUGGAAAUUAUCCGAGUUCUUUUGCAUUAGCACAACACGCGUAUGAAAUUCUGAUCAAGCUAACAUCAUUUGCAAUUCAUUGCUUGGAAAGUGAUAUCUUAAGCAUGAAGCUCAUAGCACGGUUAAGACCCAUCCAAACCUGUACAGCUCUUCGUGAAAUUAUAGGGCCUCUGCAGUCUCGUUCGUUUCAACCUGAUUUUGUUCCCAGAGAUCCUAAUGUCAAGCCCAUAAGGUACAAAUAUCCUGCUGCCUAUGAUCCAUAUGGCCCGAGACCCCCACCAUCAGACAAGAUAGUUCAGCUUGCUGAACGUAUUGCUGCUUUAGCCCCAGAAGAACGUAGACAAAUUGGUCCUUUACUCAGGGAGAUACUAAGGCACCCUACUUUGAAACCAAUUUCAGUAGAAGGCAUGGAUUUGGGUGCAAUGGGAGGAGCAGGUGGUGGACCGGCAAAGGCUGAGGAGAAGAAGGUUGAGAAAACAGCAUUUGACGUGAAGUUAGAGAAAUUUGAUGCAGCUGCGAAAAUCAAGGUGAUCAAAGAGGUUAGAUCCUUCACGAGUCUAGGUCUGAAGGAAGCCAAGGACCUUGUCGAAAAGGUUCCUGCUAUACUUAAGCAAGGAGUAACCAAAGAGGAAGCUAAUGAAAUAAUAGAAAAGAUCAAAGCUGUUG